GUAGCAGCUUUAAAUCUUUACGUAUCUAAUGAAGUUAUCCGCCGUCCUAACUGUUCCCAUUGGUCUUGAUUAUGCGCCACAUUUCUUCUCGUGUAUAACUAAUGGUUUUAUUUUGUUGUGCACAACCCUUGCCGAGUUACUGAUUUAUUUUGGGUGCAUGCUUUUGUCACCUCCUUUGAACACUUUGGCAGGCCCGUCAGGCUCUGUGAUAAUUAUCUAUUAAAAUAUUAAAUGCCUAACGUGAAACUAAACUUACUUGAUCAAUACCUUAAAUUCUUAACUAUUAAUCUUUGUUUGGCGGGUCCCAUUAAAUCUUCAACUUAACCAUAACUUCUCUUUAACUGUAAUGCCGAAGUGUUCACUUCUCUCGUGGUGUUUAUUAACUUUGUGGAACAGUGGCGACCAUUAAAUUUGUUCAAGUGGUGCGGUUUGCAAACAUUGUUGCAGCCGCGUUUUAACUAAGAGAAUUGCAAACAGCAUACUGUUGAACUUCACUUCUAAAAGCACCAAAAGUGCACUUAUUUUUGAUUUAAUAAGUAUACAUACUGGUCGGCUUCUGUCUUCAGUGACCACCUGGACUUCUAAAUUGUUUUAAAAUUCGAGUGACCUACGAUAAAGUCUGGGAUUAAAACUGAACUGCAAGCAACGAUUUCAUCUGAUUAAAUUACUUCCAUUGGCC